GUGUCAGCAGCCGCGGUAAUACGUAGGGUCCAAGCGUUAUCCGGAAUUACUGGGCGUAAAGCGUACGUAGGCGGCGCGUUAAGUGCAACGCGAAAUCUUGCGGCUCAACCGUAUAGACUGUGUUGCAUACUGGCGUGCUCGAGGAUGGCAGAGGCAAGUGGAAUUUGUAGUGUAGCAGUGAAAUGCGUAGAUAUUACAAGGAACACCAAUGGCGAAGGCAGCUUGCUGGGCCAUUUCUGACGCUGAGGUACGAAAGCGUGGGGAGCGAACAGGAUUAGAAACCCUGGUAGUCC
rnacentral:rRNA from 1 species